AGUGAACGCUGGCGGCGUGCCUAAUACAUGCAAGUCGAACGGGGAAAGCUUUCGGGUGAGUACUAGUGGCGCACGGGUGAGGAACGCGUGGAUAAUCUGCCUUAGAGUGGGGGAUAACUAGUCGAAAGAUUAGCUAAUACCGCAUAAGACCACAGGAGCUGCGGCUCAAGGGGUCAAAGGUUUUUCGCUCUAAGAUGAGUCCGCGUAAGAUUAGCUAGUUGGUGAGGUAACGGCUCACCAAGGCGACGAUCUUUAACUGGUCUGAGAGGAUGAUCAGUCACACUGGAACUGAGACACGGUCCAGACUCCUACGGGAGGCAGCAGUAGGGAAUAUUGCACAAUGGGGGAAACUCUGAUGCAGCGACGCCGCGUGAGUGAUGAAGGCCUUCGGGUCGUAAAGCUCUGUCGCAGGGGAAUAACACAAUGAAUGUACCCUGUAAGAAAGGAUCGGCUAACUUCGUGCCAGCCGCCGCCGUAAGAC
rnacentral:rRNA from 1 species